UACCUACUCCCUCCGUCCCAAAAUUCUUGUCUUAGAUUUAUCUAUAUAUGAAUGUAUCUAGUCAUGUUUUAGUAUUUAGAUACAUUCAUUUCUAGACAAACCUAAGACAAUUUUUUUGGGACGGAGGGAGUAUAUA
rfam:Hordeum vulgare subsp. vulgare, WGS project CAJW01000000 data, contig: morex_contig_140509